rnacentral:tRNA from 1 species
AAGCCCCGGCAGCCUCAAGCUGCUUCUCCAAAUUUGCAAUUUGG